rnacentral:tRNA from 1 species
ACUCAAAUAGCUUAAGUGAGAGCGUGAUGUUGAAGUUAUCAAGGUAAUAAUUUUUUUUGAGUA